CCAGCGCAGCCGGUGGCGCUCACCUUGCUUGGGAACGUACUCCACCUUGAUUUCUGGAAGACAAAGAAGACUGGACGGUUAGGUCUAAACCCAGCAGGCCCCUCACCCCACCUUCACAGCCCAGAGGAAGAGGGGUAAUGAUAUCCAUCUACAUCAAGGUUGUUGUAAAGCAUCGAGAAAGGUGCAGUGGCUCACAUCUGUAAUCCCAGCACUUUGGGAGGCUGAGGAUCGAGAAUUGUUUGAGCCCAGGAGUUCGAGACCAGCCAGGGCAACACGGCGAGACCCUGUCUCUACAGAAAGACCUCUGCCUGUGUCACAUGAGUGUGCUAGGCUGAGCUCACUGGAGGAGGAGGAGUUGCCAUAGGGAGCGGCGUGCUGGGUGCCCAGCUGCCCCAGCUGAAGUCCUGACAGCGCCCACGCAAAGUCGGCAGGGCCCAGGUCCUACCACCACAGAGAGAGAGUGUCUCACUAUGUUGCCCAGGCUGGUCUUGAACUCCUGGGCUCAAGAAAUCCUCCUGCCUUGGCCUCCCAAAGUGCCAAGAUUACAGACACCUCGCACUUGAACACAGCUUGUUCUGAGGCCUUCACCGUCAGAUCCGCGAUGUCCUGCAGGACCUCCAGCUGUUUCUCUGUUCAGGGAGAGAAAGACAAGGAGCCGUCACUACUCCAGUCGGUGCACAGACACUUGUGAGCACCCACUGCGUGCCAGGCGCUGGUCUAGGCACUGGGGAUACCAGCCACAGACAACUCAGAAACAACCCGUUGGCCUCGGGAAGCUCCCACACUAGUGGGAGACAGUGAAGAAAGAAACAGAAGAGGGAGCGAGGAGGCCUGAGGGAGGCAGGGGGGAAUCUACCAGAGGAUGAAAGAAAGCCUCCCAGGCAGAGGGACUGGUGCAUGCAAAGGCCCUGAGGUGGCCGGGCACAGUGGUUCACGCCUGUCAUCCCAGCACUUUGGGGAUUUUGUUUAUUUUAUUUUAUUUAUUAUUUUUUUUUUUUUGAGAUGGAGUUUCACUCUUGUCGCCCAGGCUGGACUGCAAUGGCGUGAUUUUAGCUCACUGCAACCUCCACCCGCUGUGUUCAAGUGAUACUCCUGGGUUCAAGUGAUAAUCCCAGCCUCCCAAGUAGCUGGGAUUACUAGCAUGCACCACCACGUCUGGCUAAUUUUGUAUUUUUAGUAGAGAUGGGGUUUCACCAUGUUGACCAGGCUGGUCUUGAACUCCUGACCUCAGGUGAUCCACCCGCUUUGGCCUCCCAAAGUGCUGGGAUUACAGGAGUAAGCCACUAAGCCCAGCCUGAUGUUUUUAUACAGACAGGGUCUUGCCAUGUUGCCUAGGCCAGCCUUGAACUUCUGGACUCAAUUUACCCUCCCACCUCGGCCUCACAAAGAGUUGGAAUGGCAGGGCUGAGCCACCAUGCCCAGUCUAAAACGUUCUCUUUUUUUUUGGCUAGAUAUGGAAAUACCAUCAUUUGUUUGGCCCAUAAAUGACUUGAGUUCGUUGUUUUUUACUUUUUAUUUUUACAGAAUUAUAGACUCCCAAGAGCUUGCAAAAAUAGCACAUAGAGUCCCGUGUGCUCUUCAUCCAGCCUCCCCCACUGGUGACAUCGUACAUAACGGAGUCCAGUAUCCAAACCAGGACACUGACACGGACCCAGUACUGUUACUCAGACCACAGACCUGUUUCUUUUCACUGUCUCACUUAUGUUUUACAAGGCUCACUCUGGCGGGUACUGGAGGGUGGAGGUCAAGGGGCAGGUAUAGACACAGAGUGACCAGAGAGGAGACAACUGCACCAGUCCAGGCAUGAGGGGAGGAAGGCCUGGGCCAGGCAGGGGCAGCAACAGGGGGGCUGUGGUUGGAUUCAGAUUUUUUUUUGUUUUUUAAGAUGGAGUCUUGCUCUGUCACCCAGGCUGGAGCACAGUGGCACAAUCUCGGCUCACUGCAACCUCCGCCUUCUGGAUUCAAGCGAUUCUCCUGACUCAGACUCCUGAGUAGCUGGGAUUACAGGUGUGUGCCACCAUGCCUGGCUAAUUUUUUUUUUUUUUUUUUUUUUGAGACAGAGUCUCACUCUGUUGCCCAGGCUGGAGUGCAGUGUGCAAUCUCGGCUCACCACAACCUCCACCUCCUGGGUUCAAGCGAUUCUCCUGCCUCAGCCUCCCGAGUAGCUGGGAUUACAGGUGCACGCCACCACACCCAGCUAAUUUUUGUAUUCUUAGUAGAGAUGGGUUUUCGCCAUGUUGGCCAGGCUGGUCUCGAACUCCCGACAUCAAGUGAUCCACCCACCUUGGUCUCUCAAAAUGCUGGGAUUACAGGUGUGAGCCACUGCGCCCAGGUUUUUUUUGGUUUUGGUUUUGGUUUUGUUUUUGUUUUAAGACGGAGUCUUGCUCUGUUGCCCAGGCUGAAGUGCAGUGGUGCAAUCUCGGCUCAUUGCAACCUCCGCCUCCUGGGUUCAAGCAAUUCUCCUGCCUCAGCCUCCUGAAUAGCUGGGACUACAGGUGCAUGCCGCAAUGCCCAGCUAAUUUUUUUGUAUUUUUGGUAGAGAUGGAGUUUCACCAUGUUGGCCAGGCUGGUCUUGAACUCCUAAGCUCAAGUGAUCCACCCGCCUCGGCCUCCCAAAGUGCUGGGAUUACAGGCAUGAGCCACCACGCUUGGCUGGAUUCAAAAUUUACUUUGAAGCUGGAGCCACCAGAUCUCCCUGGUGAGCUGAACAUAGGGUGUGUGGGAAAGAGAGGAGUCAGGAACAACUUCCAGACUGGGAGGCCUGAGCAACUUCAAGCUGUGUGGAGAAGCAUGCGCAGUGCAGCCCGUGCCCCACCUGGAGGCCCCGUACCUUCCACAAUCAGCUCGGCCU